rfam:Ostreococcus tauri mitochondrion, complete genome.
GGGAAAAUAGCUUAACUGGUAGAGUCCCGGCCUGUCACGCCGGUUGGUGCGGGUUCAACUCCCGUUUUUCCCG